UACGUAGGGGGCAAGCGUUGUCCGGAAUCAUUGGGCGUAAAGCGCGCGUAGGCGGCCCGGUAAGUCCGCUGUAAAAGUCGAGGGCUCAACCCUCGAAAGCCGGUGGAUACUGUCGGGCUAGAGUACGGAAGAGGCGAGUGGAAUUCCUGGUGUAGCGGUGAAAUGCGCAGAUAUCAGGAGGAACACCCAUUGCGAAGGCAGCUCGCUGGGACGUUACUGACGCUGAGACGCGAAAGCGUGGGGAGCAAACAGG
rnacentral:rRNA from 1 species